UUCAGCAGAAAAAAAAACUUUUAUUUCGCACCACAAAGCCAUUAACAUAAACUAGUGAAGAAAUUAGACAUCAUGUCUGAUCGCACUGUUAAAUAUAUUUAAAUAUAUUUUGAAAACACUUGAUGGUCACGCGCUGUACUGGAGUCACCAUGGAAACGGGGCUCAGCUCAACCGUCAAGCAGCUGAACAGACGCUGUCUCUCAUGGUUGUUUUCACUAAUUUCAGUUUAUAGAAAUGGUCAGUGUCUUCAUGAAAAGUCCGUUAGCAUCUCAACUGUAAUGCUAACUACAAGAGAUUCUUCCAUGCUGAUGGCCGUGCCUGUAUCCAGCUGAAGAACAUUUUUAGACAUUAUGAAACAUAUAACUAAGACUGAAAAUCAUUGAUAAACCACAAGAGUUUAGCUCCAACCCCAGUUAAGCAGACCUGAGCAGCCGAUCAAGGAUCAGCAGAAACUCUGCAGAACGGUGGUCCUCCAGCCCAGGACUGGACACCAGUGUUAUGCUGCAGAAAAAAGAGCGAGGCUAAAGCAUUCAAAGUGGAAACAUCUGCCGUGGCUCAUUAAUCCAGAAUUGGGAUGGAGGAAGGAGCAGAAGAAGCAGAAGAUCAGAGAUCAGGCAGAGAUCUACUGGUGCCCCUGUGGGAACCCCAUUUACCUAAUGUGUUAGUUUAACCAAAGAUUUUCCUCACUCACCUUUAUGUUGUUCCAAACCAGACUUUUGUUCAUCCUUGAAACCAAAUGCGGAACUUUUUAAUGAAAUCUGAGAUUAUUUUCUUUAUAUAAAAUAACACAUUCACACAAGCACCAUGAUGCAUCAGUGUUGCAUUGGCGUGAGAGCUGGCGCUUUUGGUGCUUUUGUGAAAAUCCAUUGGGGAGUCAUAAUUUCUGAAUAGAUUAUUUUUGCUGUUGUUAUUGUUUGUUUGUUUUUUUUUGUACACAAGGCAUCUGUUAAAAAAAUAUCUUAAUUUGUGUUCUGCACAAAAGGGUGUUAUGGGUUUGGGGCAACAUGAGGGUAAGUAAUUAAUGACAGAAUUAAAAUUUUUGGUUGUUCUAAUGUGGUUAUAAUUGGUCAUAGUUUAUUUGUCUUGAAAAAAUAUAUUUAUACAGAAACAUGGAUUAAUUUGAUAAGUUUAUAGUAAAGCCUUUUAAAUAUAUA